AACCUUACCCUUAGUUGCCAGCGGGUAACUGCCGGGGCACUCUAAGGGGGACCGCCCCGGGAUAACGGGGAGGAAGGCGGGGAUGACGUCAAGUCAGCAUGGCCUUUAUGUCCAGGGCUACACACGUGCUACAAUGGGCGAUACAGAGGGAAGCAAGGCCGCAAGGUAGAGCUAAUCCCUAAAGUCGUCCUCAGUUCGGAUUGCAGGCUGCAACUCGCCUGCAUGAAGUCGGAAUCGCUAGUAAUCGCGGAUCAGCUACGCCGCGGUGAAUACGUUCUCGGGCCUU
rnacentral:rRNA from 1 species